UACAGAGGUCCCGAGCGUUGUUCGGAUUCAUUGGGCGUAAAGGGUGUGUAGGUGGUUCCGUAAGUGGGGUGUGAAAUCCCGGGGCUUAACCCCGGGACUGCAUUCCAUACUGCGGUGCUUGAGGACUGGAGAGGAGACUGGAAUUUACGGUGUAGCAGUGAAAUGCGUAGAGAUCGUAAGGAAGACCAGUGGCGAAGGCGGGUCUCUGGACAGUUCCUGACACUGAGGCACGAAGGCCAGGGGAGCAAACGGG
rnacentral:rRNA from 1 species